rnacentral:rRNA from 1 species
CCCAGACUCCUACGGGAGGCAGCAGUGGGGGAUAUUGCACAAUGGGGGGAACCCUGAUGCAGCGACGCCGCGUGGGUGAAGGAGCGUUUCGGCGCGUAAAGCCCUAUCGGCAGGGAAGAAGGAGGACGGUACCUGACUAAGAAGCCCCGGCUAACUACGUGCCAGCAGCCGCGGUAAUACGUAGGGGGCAAGCGUUAUCCGGAUUUACUGGGUGUAAAGGGGGCGCAGACGGCAGCGCAAGCCAGGAGUGAAAGCCCGGGGCCCAACCCCGGGACUGCUCUUGGAACUGCGCGGCUGGAGUGCAGGAGGGGCAGGCGGAAUUCCUGGUGUAGCGGUGAAAUGCGUAGAUAUCAGGAGGAACACCGGUGGCGAAGGCGGCCUGCUGGACUGCGACUGACGUUGGGGCCCGAAAGCGUGGGGAGCAAACAGGAUUAGAUACCCUGGUA